GAAGCUUCCAACCUCCCUCGAAGGCUUCCAAUAUACCAUGCUUCCUCAAAUUGGCCUUGUAAGCAUGGGAAUGUUGGAAACCCUAGGGGGAGGUCGAAAGCUU
rfam:Citrus sinensis cultivar Ridge Pineapple sweet orange scaffold00087_contig_19, whole genome shotgun sequence.